GUUAUACAACUUUCAACAACGGAUCUCUUGGCUCUCGCAUUGAUGAAGAACGCAGCGAAAUGCGAUAACUAAUGUGAAUCGCAGAAUUCAGUGAAUUAUCGAGUCUUUGAACGCACCUUGCGCCCUUUGGUAUUCCAAAGGGCAUGCCUGUUUGAGUGUCAUUAA
rnacentral:rRNA from 1 species